rnacentral:rRNA from 2 species
AACGACUCUCGGCAACGGAUAUCUCGGCUCACGCAUCGAUGAAGAACGUAGCAAAAUGCGAUACUUGGUGUGAAUUGCAGAAUCCCGUGAACCAUCGAGUUUUUGAACGCAAGUUGCGCCCGAAGCCAUUUGGCCGAGGGCACGUCUGCCUGGGCGUCACGC